rnacentral:lncRNA from 1 species
UUAUAUAUUCAGUCUAAAUUUGUUCUUAAUAUAUCUGGCAUGUAUCGACCGUCUCUAAAACAAGUGGCAAAGGGCUUGGUGAUUGGUACCCGAGACCCAAGUUCGAAUCCUAAUUGAUUCACAUAUUCAGCCAAGUUUAUUUCUAAAUGAAAUAAACGAAGCGGGUAGCGUGCUACUUAUCUCUCAAAAAAAUAAAUAAAUAAAUAAAUCUGGCAUGCUUCGAGUAAAAUUUGGUAUGUUAAUAUUAU